rnacentral:rRNA from 1 species
GUCUAUGGCCAUGCCACUCUGAACAAGCCCGAUCCUGUCUGAUCUUGGAAGCUAAGCAGGGUCGGGCCUGGUUAGUACUUGGAUGGGAGACCACCUAGUAAGACCAGGUGCUGUAGGUG